GACGAACGCUGGCGGCGUGCUUAACACAUGCAAGCCGAACGGAAAGGCUCUGCUUUUGUGGGGUGCUCGAGUGGCGAACGGGUGAGUAACACGUGAGUAACCUGCCCUUGACUUUGGGAUAACUUCAGGAAACUGGGGCUAAUACCGGAUAGGAGCUCCUGCUGCAUGGUGGGGGUUGGAAAGUUUCGGCGGUUGGGGAUGGACUCGCGGCUUAUCAGCUUGUUGGUGGGGUAGUGGCUUACGAAGGCUUUGACGGGUAGCCGGCCUGAGAGGGUGACCGGGGGCAGUGGGGCUGAGGGAGGGCGCGGACGCGUACGGGAGGCAGCAGUGGGGAAUGUUGCACAAUGGGCGGAAGCCUGAUGCAGCAACGCCGCGUGCGGGAUGACGGCCUUCGGGUUGUAAACCGCUUUCGCCUGUGACGAAGCGUGAGUGACGGUAAUGGGUAAAGAAGCACCGGCUAACUACGUG
rnacentral:rRNA from 1 species